UGGUGCUUCAUUUGAUCACGGCGACAAUGGGAAGUUACAUCUAGCUAGGGAAGGGGGGCAUUCUCAUUGGUGCUUCACCUUACGACGGUCUUCUUCACUUCUUCCUACUGGGGUUCAAGCGGUAGAGGCAGAGGUUGGCGGCGGUUCAUUCCAGCACCUCCAUUACUUCCGUUCAUCUUCCAUCCGAGGGGGUUCCUUAGUGGAAGAUAGUCCUUUUAAAUGUAUAUUAAUAGUCAAAUUUCUUCUUUAGUAUCUGCGCAACUAGGGUAACUGAAUCCACACUCAGAUUUUGCUGGCUCAGCUAUGGAAGAAAAGGAAAUUAAAUAAUGUAUAAAUAUACAUAUGCCUAAUUGACUAAACUUUUACUUUUUCUAGUAACUACUUUUGUUGAAGGUCACUGACUAUGAGCUUAUUCCCGGAGGGAGGAAUAUCAGAGUAAUUGAGGAGACAAAGCAUGAAUAUGUGGAUCUUGUGGCUGAACACAUUUUGACCACAACUAUUCGUCCUCAGAUCAAUUCUUUUCUAGAAGGCUUCAAUGAAUUAGUGCCUAAGGAACUUAUUUUAAUAUUCAAUGACAAGGAACUUGAACUUCUUCUAAGUGGACUUCCAGAGAUUGACCUUGAUGAUCUUCAAGCCAACACAGAGUAUACUGGAUAUUCAGCUGCUUCUACUGUAAUUCAGUGGUUUUGGGAAGUUGUUAAAUCAUUUAACAAGGAGGACAUGGCGAGAUUACUACAAUUUGUUACUAGAACAUCAAAGGUUCCCCUGGAGGGGUUUAAAGCAUUACAGGGUAUAUCUGGUCCCCAG